UAGUCACCCCUCAGUGGUUACUAUCCAGCGUUUUGUGUCUGCCACCUGCCUAUCCUCCUGCCUGCUCGGAUCUCCAAGUGCACCAUCUGUCCUCAUCCCUUCCUCCUCGGAUUGGCUUCCCACGGACACGCUUCCCCCCUUCCGAGCCCCACGGUCCGGCUGUGAUCCCUCCCACGGUCCCGAUUACGGCUUCCCUGUGUAAUUUGUCUUCCCGGUUCCCUUCAGUUCUGCGAUUUUGCUUCCUUGCUUAUUCCGGGUCACCUUUUGUUAAAACAAUAAAAUCUGUACUUGCUCGCA